GUGCAGCUGACGAGUCCUAAAUAGGACGAAACACAUGUCCUGGAU
rnacentral:hammerhead_ribozyme from 1 species